rnacentral:RNase_P_RNA from 1 species
AGAGUCGUCUGGGUUACCGCGUCGGAGUUAGCUCGCUAAUUGCGCCGAGGAAAGUCCGGACUCCACAGGGCAAGGUGGUGGGUAACGCCCACUCGGGGUGACCCGCAGGAAAGUGCAACAGAGAGUAGACCGCCAAGCAAUUGGUAAGGGUGA